rnacentral:rRNA from 1 species
AUUGAACGCUGGCGGAAUGCUUUACACAUGCAAGUCGAACGGUAGAGGGGGCAACCCCUCGAGAGUGGCGAACGGGUGAGUAAUAUAUCGGAACGUGCCCAGUCGUGGGGGAUAACGUAGCGAAAGUUACGCUAAUACCGCAUACGAUCUAAGGAUGAAAGCGGGGGAUCGCAAGACCUCGCGCGAUUGGAGCGGCCGAUAUCAGAUUAGGUAGUUGGUGGGGUAAAGGCUCACCAAGCCAACGAUCUGUAGCUGGUCUGAGAGGACGACCGGCCACACUGGAACUGAGACACGGUCCAGACUCCUACGGGAGGCAGCAGUGGGGAAUUUUGGACAAUGGACGCAAGUCUGAUCCAGCCAUUCCGCAUGCAGGAUGAAGGCCCUCGGGUUGUAAACUGCUUUUGUACGGAACGAAAAGGUCUCUCUUAAUACGGGGGACUCAUGACGGUACCGUAAGAAUAAGCACCGGCUAACUACGUGCCAGCCGCCGCAGUAA